CGUCCGGUGGUCGGUAGCUCUACUAAGCGAAUAACCGCUCGCUGCUUUUUCUUCGCGAAUAACAUGUGCGGGUAGCCUAGGAAAAGAGAAGCAAGCUACCUUCGCCUACCUCCCCGCCGCUCAUGACAAGCAAGCAGCAUACUAGGUUUCAUUAUUAUAUAGGACUUCUUUUGUGCUACCACGCCUCUCUUGACCUCUGCUUGCAUCUCGAGAAAGUAUAAGGGUCACCGAAAGUGAGGGAAGAGAUAUCCAAUUUGAUAUCUUAUGAUAUAUUGAGGAUGCUGCAAUAGUUUGGUUUCAC
rnacentral:lncRNA from 1 species